GGGAGACGCAGUGCAGCAGGCCCCCCUGAGUCACAGUGCAGACUUGUUCAAGGUUGUGGCCACCAAGCAACUGGCUGUCUCGAAGUGUGGAUGGAUGAAAAGUAUUCGGGUGUGUCUGGUAGGGAACAUAUCUUCUGGCACCUGAGGAUACCGACGUUCCUUCGGGCACUUGUUUCAGUGUCUCAAUGGCACUGGGCUUCACCUUAAUACCACUCUACCACGCACACGGUCAUCUGGUGUUCUCUCGGUGUUCUAACUCACAAGGAAAGCAUUUUAGAGUUAAGGAUUACUUCUGGAAAAGAAUCCAAGAACUUCCUAAUAAGUGCUGAACACAGAGUCCAGUGUGUCCUCAAUCACAUGGGAAAUUUGGUGCCACCGGCUGAAGCCUCAGUCUACAGAAGGUAAAUACUGGGCUUGUGAAUCUUGGCUGCCCGCCG
rnacentral:lncRNA from 1 species